AGCAUGAAGAAAUAAAUUUUUUUAAUUUUUUUCAAUGGCUUUCAUUGUGAUCAUCUGGAUCUGAAGAAAUAAUGACGAAAAAAAAAUAAAUAAACAAACUUAUAAAAAUAGUUAAACAAAAACAAUAACAACUGCAUAGAAGAAAACGACAGUUGUGUAAAGAAAGACUCAUGUGGCAAAAGCAUGAAUGAACCUGCCUCAUGAGUUGAUUUAAAACAUUUAGAGUGGGGAUUUAAUUCUUGAACGAACGGUUGGUGUACGAGGAAAGGAAAAUGAAGGGAAGACACCAGUCGGAGGGAGAGUAAACGGAAAUACCCGAAGAACUUCGGGAGAGGACGUUCGUUGAAGGAGAGAUAGAUGAAGAAUAGUAAUGUUGAUAAUUGAUACGAGAGAGAUAGUGAACUGCGACCGCUUGACCUUCAUGCGGCCACGCAACUGAAUGAACGCCUAGCCGGUUGAGUGACGCAAUGAUACCAGUGUCGAGGGAGAGACUGAGAUAGAUUAUAAAUCAAAUUAAAAGGAGACAGUAAUAAAAUAAAUGUAUAUACUAGUUAAACUGCUGUGCAAGCCAGCAGUUGGCUGAGAUACCAAUAAAAUGAUAUUUUUAUAAAAAACAAUUAAAUUUAUUGAGCCGGUUUAGAGAAAACAUGUCGAAUUAUUCAGGACAGAAUCAUUGUUGAGUAAUCUUGCGAUCCAAUUGAAGAAUAUUAUGCAAAUGUCUAUCAAUUAUCAUGUUAAGACACAUUUGUUUAUCUUCUAUAGACUAUAGACUAGAGACAAGAUUUUUAUUAAGUAUUGUAUGGUUAGUAACAAUAGAGAGAAUAACUGAAGAAAAUAGCUAUUGUCAUCAGGAUUGGAUUCAUUGGAUAUAAUAUGAAUUGCUUAUUGUCCUCAAAAUUGUACUGGUGCUACUUUGAUCCUAGUUUUCUCUACCUGACUACCAGUUUGUCCUUUUGGAGAUGAAGAAAGGAAAUAUGGACCCGAAAAAGGCAUUUAAAUUUGUGAAUUUUUGUAUUGUAGCAUUUUUAACGGGAAGUUUUCUUCACACGAUAUUUGUACUUUAGGUAGGAAAAAGUAGACUAAAGCAUAAUCUUUGGCACAAAAAUAAAAAAUGGAGUACUUUGGCUGCAAAACAACCUAAAAUUGAAAGCAAAAUAAAAACGAUGAUAAACCGAGGCCAAUUGGUAAAGUGCCUAACGUGUGUUACUUUUGGUAGCACGCUCGCCAGGGUUUGACUUCCAACAUAUAAUAAUGUUAAUGCUAAUGCUAAUACUGAUGCUUACACAAAUACUCAUACUAAUUCCUAUCUUAAAAAUAAAAUCUGGGCACGACCGAGGGAAGAGGUCGUUAAUACCGCACUCGACUGUAUCGACACGGACAAUGCACACCGCUUUGUUCGAUCCGAACAGAACAGAACCCCUCGAAAUAAAAUUUUUA